rfam:TPA: Bos taurus chromosome 4, whole genome shotgun sequence.
UAGCUCAGAGGUUAAAGCGUCUGCCUGCAAUGCAGGAGACCUGGGUUCGAUCCCUG